CGCAAGAAACAAGGAAAUAGCGGCGAACAAAUCCGUACGUGGGCCGGCCCACAGAGUGACUCGCUUCAGCGAAGCCUUGACUGAGCGAGCACACCCCUGCGCCGAGCUGGGCCGGCCCCCUAUUCUCUUCCGUUUUCUGUUUUAGACUGAGCGAGCAGGAGGUUUCGAGGGAGCUCCUAAUCAGCGCCUUCAGCGCCGGUUGGGAGAAGUGGCGCCCGCUAUAGCGCCAAGUGGGCCGGCCCACGAAGGGGCACCACACAAAAUGGUUAUGAAAAAUGCGCGAAAAAUUACAGACCCGUGAUGGGAUCGAACCCGCGACCUACACUAGGUACAAGUUACUGCCUAACCACUAGGAUACAUACUUGCAAAUGACAGAAUCCAUCGCUCAAUCUUUAACAACUAUCGUAGCUGUUCAUACAUGAUUUUCUAAAAAAAAAAGAAACUUCAUAUAUCUAUACUACUAUUAAACAAGCAAACAUAUUUAUCGCUAAGUGCACCUAGACUAGACUACAUAUAACAAAACAGAAGGAUUACAGCCUCCCGAUCAGAUCACGUAAUUUUAUCUAACCUAACGGUCAAGAUUACACUAACCCCACAUCUAAAACUGCGUUUAGCAAUUUUUUUUGGGCGGACGAAAACUCUGCCAAUCUCACGUCCGCAAGCGUAGCAACAAGCGAUCCCACGACGCGUAAUUAGCGCUAACAACCCGUGUGAUGAGAGACCAGAGGACAUCUGCUCGGAGACCCAUGCCCUUGUGCGCUCACGAUGGAGAACUUCGCGAUGCAUCGGCCGACGGCUGCUACGGUCGCCGGCCCUACUCCCGAGGGCGCCGUGCGCCGAGAGGUCAAGGGAGUGGCCCAUAGAUGCCGUCCUCCUCUGCUUGGUGGCCUCCAUGGAUGCGGGAGACCAUGUCGCCAGAUCCGUCGCUGGCCGACCGAAGGGUCCCCCGAGGACGGCCAAUGGACGGAGCCUCGCCACCUACCUCCAACAGAUGUCCGGCACCCCAUUGCUACUGGCACGUCGUCCCAACCAACGUCGCUGUCAGCCUCACGGGAUUCAGAGGAGGUGCCUGUUCUGUUUGGGUGUUUUCCCCGUGUGGUACUGGUUGGGAUUCAGAGGAGGUGCGGUGGGGGGCAUUUUCUCCUAUAGGUGAACACUCUGAUCCCUUUUUAUUGUACCAGGCAUGGCGGAUUCUGCUCCUGCAGUCGAGUUUUUGCUACCCUUCAUUUCCUUUAGCCAGAUCAGUGUGGUUCUAAACUUUGUAUACACUUUUGGAUUUGUGAGAAAAACGAGAUGGUGGUUCGAUUUCCUCCCGGCCUGUACACCCGCACACACUUUCAGUAGGAAGAUGAUCCCGGUGUAGGAGGACCCGACGACUGACGUGAAGUCGGGGUGGAAGAAGGGCAUGAAGGACACCUUCCUAAAAGGAAUGAUCUGAUUUUUCCGGUAUAUAAUUAUGUAUUUUAAAAAAUUACUGGGGUGUACUUUUUAUAUUAUGACUACAAUCUUUGAAAUUAUAUUUAUAUAUACCAUUUUAUUUGAAAAUAAGUUAUAAAUUAAAAUUUCUGAAUAGAUUGGAUGAUGUUUCAUGUGUUUGAAUUGCAUUUUAGGUCAAAUAAGUCUGCUAGGUUAGAGGAGCUAUGACAAAAGUUGUUCAAAAACCGAAUGAACUUUUUCUUCGUUCAGUAAUGGAGAUUUAUCAUGUAUUAGAAUGUGUCAACUUCUGCAAGUUUGUGUUCUCCUAUCGAUAGCUCUAUUUCCGUCAGGUAUCUCACUCUGUUUGUGGUCUUUUUUUUCGGUUCAUGAAUACAAAAUGAGCGUGAAGAGGUGAAGAUACUGGCGUGAAGGAACCAUGAGAUGAGAACAUGCUGAGAACAGUUCUAUUGAUGAACAAUUGACCACUGUAAUUAUAUACUAAUGCAGCUGUUGCAAGCUUUCUUUUUUAUUUAAAAUCUUUAUUGUGACAACCUCUUAAGAUUUUCAGCCAUCUCUUUAUAGGUACUAUAGGGAACUAAUUUCGAAGUUACUGGUGUUGUCCCUUUUACUUUUCUGCUCAUACAUUGUUGCUAAUUUGGAGUAAGUACAUGAAAUCUACUGACUCUGAGGUCUUUAUUAUGUAGUCCAGUUUCUUCAUGCUUGCAUUUGUCCAUGUUUCUCUUCUAUUUCCAUCAUUGAGAAGUUAAGAUGUUGGUUUGGACGAUAUUCUGAUGUUGUUAGUUACAGUAGGAUAUUCUGAUAUUUGUUGAUCGUUUCCAGGCUAAGGUUCACUAGAAAAUAUAUAUUGGAACUACCAGCUAUCAUGCUAGACGAUGAUAAUGGUUUACUCCUUUUGAUGCGAGAUGAGCUAAUCAGGGUGCUUGAUCUACAAGGUUAAGAUGCUAGAUGAUUAAAAAGAUUCUUUUGAACAUAAAAGUACCCCAGAGUUUCUCUCCUCACAACUAGAACAGACACAUUACCAAAAAUUUAUUCAAUUCGAUUUCAGUUUGUUAGUGAUAUUAUUGUUUGUACUUUUUUUGCCCGUGAUGAUUAGCGCCAAUUUAUGAGUUUUGUAUUUAAUUUUGUGAUAUUAUUCCCAGUCACCACAAGUUUGGUCUGGCAAAUUGACUUUGCUUGUUUUUUGUUCAAUCAUCUCUUUACCUAAUGCAGAUUAUAGAUAUAUUAUGUUUCAUCUUCACAUCGAUUGCCAAGUCGACUGAUGCGUAUUCUUGUCGGGUCUGGACCAAACUGAAUGCAGAUGUUAAGGUUGAUGAUACUACAGCGUCUCGAUCAUUGCCAUUCAAGCAUGUUUUUAAAGAGGAAAAAGAAUCAUGCAAAGCCUAAAUAUGACAUGGUUACGGAGGUGUAAUGGUCAGCCAUGAGUUCGUGGCUGCAAUGCGGUGUUUCCUUACUGCCAGGGGUGCCCAUGGUCACAGAUAAACUGAAAUAACAGUAAGUGACACACUAUAUGUCUAUAUACUGUGCUCUCUAUUGUGUAUGUAAAAACUAAAAAGUGCUAUUCAGCUGAAUGAUAAGAUGUGUCUUGUAGAGA